rnacentral:lncRNA from 1 species
AAUUGUGUCUUUGAGCGCGCAGCAUCGUGCUUUGUGCUGCCGGGGAUAACGGAUUCUGGGUCUCACACGCAUCCGUCACCUAAAACACCCUUAAACUGAACCAGGGUCUCCACAGCUGGAAGGGAAACAACGUGCUGGGACCCAGGCUGCUCUGAGCUACAAGGAUCCCAGGAGUGAAGGAAAUGUUUCAGGGAGCAGCCCAGGCAGCGGGGGGAGGAAGAAAGCCCUCGCACUCUUACCUCCACAUUGAAAUACUGCUCCGUUCCGCAGACUGUAGCACAUAAAAUCCAAAGCAAGGUUUGCAAGAAAAACACCCCCGAAUGAUGCACGAAAUCCAACCGUCUUCCAGUGCUGAAUCCAGCAGAGGGGAAGAGGAGCCCACGGGAAAGAAAAGCAGGCGAGGUUAAGAAUAAAGAGUGUUCCAGGAUAGCACAGAAGCAGAGACUUUAAGUCUAAACAGACCUAGAUUCAGAGCCGACCCGAUGCUGCUUGAAGAAGGCUGGAGGUUAUUCAUGUUAGGCUCCUGAAAACACCACAAGGACCUACCCUCCGGGAGCCAGCCAGAGAACCCUUCUUCCUGCACUGUCUCCGUUAUGCCCAACAUUUCUGGGCAUAAGUUUUAAUAAACCUUACCUGGGAAAAGUUUGUUUGGCCUCGUGUUAAUUGCUAUUAUAUGGAGAGCCAAGAAUCUCGAACCAGUAAGAGUUGUGAAGUCACCCUCAAUAUUUCCCAAGUCUUCAAAGGAAUUGAGACACUAUAAUCAUUACCCAGGACUCCACGCUUGUCAAAUUUGUUGAUGACCUCCUACUUUGCAACCAAACUGAAUAGAAUGCUUGUAUAGACUCCCUAAUCCUUCUGAAGGUACUGACUGAGCAAGGCUACAAAGCCUCCAAAUCUAAAUGU